rnacentral:piRNA from 2 species
UAUAAGAAAGAGUGUCUAGU